rfam:Gorilla gorilla gorilla genomic chromosome, chr11, whole genome shotgun sequence
GCCAGGCGAGGUGGCUCAGGUCUGUAAUCCCAGCACUUUGGGAGGCCGAGGCGAGCGGAUCAGGAGGUCAGGAGAUCGAGACCAUCCUGGCUAACAAGGUGAAACCCCAUCUCUACUAAANNNNNNNNNNUUUAGUAGAGAUGGGGUUUCACCUUGUUAGCCAGGAUGGUCUCGAUCUCCUGACCUCCUGAUCCGCUCGCCUCGG